AUGCAAUCCCCUAGUGGCUUCAAUCCAUCCAGGGAUUGGGUGACUCCCACCCCGUCACCCGAUCCCCACUUCAUUCCCACACCAAAAUCUCUGUCACAGAAUGCCAUUCGGUUAGACCUCUUGCAGUCUUGCCAAUGGAGCAAAUAUAAUAUUUCAAAGAAUCAAAUCAUUCAAUUCACUAGUUCCAGAGAUAGAUCCAUCGACCAAUUGGACAUGGGAGUUGCAGCAAGCAGAGAUGAGCCGUGGAGCUUCGUCGGAAAGACGACCAUGGUCAGCGGUGGAAAAGGGGAUGGGAACCCUAGAAAUCAAAAGGGGAGAGAGGAUCUUACCGGCCUGAUGUUGGGGAGGAAGACCGGAGUAGGCUGUAGUGGCCGUUGA
rnacentral:rRNA from 1 species